rfam:Larimichthys crocea isolate SSNF unplaced genomic scaffold scaffold258, whole genome shotgun sequence.
UGUUCCCGUUUCUGUAAGUCGCUUUGGAUAAAAGCGUCUGCUAAAUGACUAAAU